AUGCGAAUUGAAAGUGAGGACACGCGGCCAAGUCCAGGGUCGAGGCAAUUAAGCAAACCAGUCCAGUCCACUAACUCUAUAAAUUCUAAAUUAUAAUACAAAAGGAAACGAUAUCGUUUGAAGAAGAAAACCUUCUUAUCUUAAAAGGCGCCUGAUCUCGCAAAUGAUAAAACCUUAACCCUCGGGCCCUCAGAGUCCCGAACGCGAGUGAGAGCAGAUCUGAGAAAAUGAGAGAUGUGAAACACAGAGAAGGUCUGGAAACCCUAACAAUGCCAUUGUCUCUGUGAUCGGAGCCUUCGCUGUAGAUCAGAGACAUGAGCGUGAAGAAAGAGAGAGACGACGGGGCAUGAAGAAAAGCUCCUCCAAUGCGAUUCUUGUUUUGCGAGGUUUAACGCCUCGAUG
rnacentral:lncRNA from 1 species